CGGCCACACUCGGCCUCCAGCCCCGCCUCUCGGCCCGCCUUUUCCUCCCGGCCCUGCGUUGGUGGGCGCGCCGCGGGCUCUAAAAGCUCGACUGUCGGCCGGGCGCUGUGGCGCACGCCUGUAAUCCCAGCACUUUGGGAGGGCAAGGUGGGUGGAUCAAAGUUCGCGACCAGCCUGACCAACAUGGUGAAACUACGUCUCUACUAAAUUAGCCAGGCGUAGUGGCUCAUGCCUAUAAUCCGAGCUACUUGGGAGGCUGAGACAGGAGACUCGCUUGUACCCGGCAGGCGGAGGUUGCAGUGAGCCAAGAUUGCGCCAUUGCACUCCAGCCUCGGCAACAAGAGCGAAACUCCGUCUCAAAAAAAAAAAAAGCUCAACUGUGGGCCUGCGACCUUCACGCGCCAGCGCUGGAGAGGUGCCAGGCUCCCUGGGGCCGAGACCGGGGCAGAGGACGACACUUCGUCUGGCCGCCUAGCCUCGGCCUCUAAGCUUCCUGCAUCUUCUUCAUCGUAGGUGAUGUUGGACGUGACAGAGGAGGUGACAGGUCACCCUGAGUGCGGGACUCCGUGUCCAGAAGGAAGUGGGCCUCCAGGUGCCACGCCUUUGCUUCUGCUGUGGCAUCUGAUGAGUUCCCUGUUCAUCUCUCCAGGCAUUCCCAGGGCAGUCAGCCCUGAUGCCCAGGGGCUAGGCUUGCAAGACCGCGCAUUAGGUUCGCAGAGCUAGAGUGCAAGGCCAGACCUGGUACCAACAGCAUCUCCGCCUUCGUCCUCAUCUGGUUCCCGCCUCAAACCUGUACCUGUGCGGAGGAGCCUGGAAGACGGAGUUUCGCUUUUGUUGCCCAGGCUGGAGUGCAAUGGCGCGUUCUCAGCUCACUGCAACCUCCGCCUCCCUGGCUGAAGCAAUUCUCCUGCCUCAGCCUCCCGAGUAGCUGGGACUACAGGCAUGCGCCACUACGCCCGGCUAAUUUUGUAUUUUUAGUGGAGACGGGAUUUCUCCAUGUUGGCCAGGCUGGUCUCGAACUCCCGACCUCAGGUGAUCUGCCCACCUCAGCCUCCCAAAGUUCUGUGAUUACAGGCGUGAGCCACUGCGCCUAGCCGGUUCUAACUUUUAACAUGUAAAAGGAGAGUUGAACUCUGAUAAAUAUAUAUUAAAGGCCAACAAGGAGCCCAGCAUUAAAUAUUGGGGAUACAGGUGAGCAAAACGGACAGCCCUGAUCCCCAGAACAUAUGGUGUGGAGUAGGAGGCAGAUAGUCAACAGUCACGUGGACGUAAUUACACGUGUACUUUUUUUUUUCUUUUUUUUUCUUUUUUUCAGACAGUCUAGCUCUGUCGCCAGGCUGGAGUGCAGUGGCGCGAUCUCGGCCCACUGCAACCUCUGCCUCUUGGGUUUAAGCGAUUCUCCUGCCUCAGCCUCCCAAGUAGCUGGGACUACAGGCAUGCGCCGUCACGCCCCGCUAAUUUUUGUAUUUAGUAGAGAUGGGGUUUCACCAUGUUGGCCAGCCUGGUCUGGAACUCCUGACCUCAAGUGACCUGCCCACCUUGGCCUCCCAAAGUGGUCUCACUGUUGCCCAGACUGGAGUGCAGUAGCAUGGUCAUAGCAAGUGCAAAGGUCUGGAGCAUGAAACACACACAUUUCUUGAAUUGGACAUUAUAAACAGUCUCAAAAGCAUACAAGUCAGAGGUGUGGAAGCUUCAGCAAGUUAAAUUGAGAAGGCCUUGGAGAAUUCUUUGAAAGCCCAUAAGUAUUUGAGCAAUCCUAUAAACAUAUGUGAAGACCUCUGACCCUGUUUUCUGAUGGAAAUGUCCAGAUUAUUGAUCUGACCAGAACAGUCCAGGUUCCAUGAUGCAUGCAGUGGUGUCUGUGAUCUGACUGAGAGACAUCUGGCUCUAUUUCAGAAGAACUAAAACUAUAGUUCCAGCUACUUCAGAGGCUAAGGUGGGAAGAUGGCUUGAAUCCAGGAGGUCGAGGCUGCAGUGAGCUGUGAUCUCACCACUGCACUGAUCUCACCACUGCACUCCAGCCUGGGCAACAAAGCAAAACCCUGUCUCAAAAAAUAAAGUAAAAUGAAAGAAUUCAAAAUAAUUAUGCAGCAAAAUGUUUACUGUAUUUCUAUAAAUUCAAAUAAAACAUGCCAAAUCCUUUGUCCCUCCCAUAAUUUCAAUGAGUAUGUACAGAAAAUUCUUAGGGAACAAUGUGAGCCAGGUAAUUGUUGAUCUGGUUGAGUAGCACUUUAGAGAUAACUUUUAUGUGUUCUCCCAUUCAGGACUUCACCAUGUCAGAAGAACUCAAUUAGCCCUCUUAAUAUAAAGAAACUGGCCGGGCAUGGUGGCUCACGUUGGCCCAACAAAACCUUUGGGAGGCUGAAACAGGCAAAUAACUUGAGCCCAGGAGUUCAAGAUCGGCCUGGGCAACCUGGCGAAACCUCGUCUCUACAAAAAAUACAAAAAAAUUAGCCGGGCAUGGUGGCAUGCACCUGUAAUCUAAACUACUUGGGAGGCUGAGAUGGGAGGAUUGCUUGAGCCUGGGAGAUGGAGGUUGCAGUGAGCCGAAAUUGUGCCACUGCACUCCAGCCUGGGUGACAGAGCAAGACUCUGUCUCAAAACAAUUUUAAACAAAACAACGAACUUGCUCAGAGAGGUUGAGUACCUUCGUAAGUUCAUACAGCUAUGGCAGGGUAAAAGUUAGGCCUGGCACUUCAGUUGUCUCAACCCAGCAUUUCUUCUACCGUGUCACGGAGUCCUCUCCACACACGUACUUUUGUAAGAUACAGUGACCAGCACUUAAUGUUUUUCUCUGUCAUUUUACAGGCCACUUUUCUCUCAUCUUUGUAAGCAAGCCUGGAUAAUUCAACUUGAGAUAAACAUGGGCUGCUUUAAAGCUUUACAGCACUUGCAUUUUUAGUUCUUCUGAAACAGAGCCAGAUGUCUCUCAAAGUCAGAUCACAGACACCACUGCAUGCAUCAUGGAACCUGGACUGUUCUGGUCAGAUCAAUAAUCUGGACAUUAUAAUUUUUUCAUUUUUUUUGUAGAGACGGGGGUCUCACUUUGUUGACCAGGCUGGUCUGGAACUCCUGGGCUCAAGUGAUCAGCCUGCCUGGGCCUCCCAAAGUGCUGGGAUUACAGGCUUCAGCCACUGCACCUAAUUCUUUCAUUUUAAUUAGAGUGUUUAUCUCUUCCAAAAGGUGGUUUUAAAAUUUCACAUGUGGUUCUCUCCUUAUUUUCAGUUGAGAAGAAGCAAAAAAAAAAAAAAAUUAGAAAGUAAAACGAUUGGCAGGAGCUUUGGAUAUUUUUACUUAUCCCAUUGUGCAACACAUUCAGUGACAAUACAGGCUUAUGAAGUUGUUCAGAUGGUUUGUCUAUGAGCAUGUCUGUUCCUACAGUUCUCCAGAACAUGAGAGCCCUUCAUGCCUAAUCUUGGCUUCCUGCUGAUAGACUUUUAAAGGGGUGUGAGUUGGCCAGCCAUGGACCUGGGUACGCUUCCAGUGGCCACAGAUGUGAACACAAUGCUGAGAGCAAUGGAAAUGUAAGCAAAGUAACAUGUAUGCUUGGUGAACAAUCAGAAGUAUGAAAUACGAGAAACCAAACCUGCCUGAUUGAUAAGAAUGGGGGGCCGGGUGCAGCGGCUCACGCUUGUAAUCCCAGCACUUUGGGAGGCUGAGGCAGGCGGAUCAUGAGGUCAGGAGUUCAAGACCAGCCUGACCAAUAUGGUGAAACCCUGUCUCUACUGAAAAUAAAAAAUUAGCCAGGUGUGGUGGCGCACACCUGUAAUCCCAGCUACUUAGGAGGCUGAGGCAGGAAAAUUGCUUGGAGGCGGAGGCUGCAGUGAGCCGAGAUCGCGCCACUGCACUCAGGCCUGGGAGACAGAGUGAGACUCUGUCUCAAAAAAACAAAACAAAAAACAAACAGAAAAAAUGGGGGGUAGGGGGUUUGAGGAGCACAAGGCUUGGACCUACUAGACCUGGAGAUUUGGGGAACGAGGGAUGCCAGCCAUGUUCCUUGUACUGUAUGCAAAAGGGAAGUAACAAGUAUUGAAUGUUCACUUACCUCUUUCAUUCCCCAAUAUGAAAUAGAUAUUCCCAUUUGCAAAAAAAAAAAAACAAAAAACAAAAAACAAAAAAAAAGAAGGCUCAGGAGAACUAGAAAGCAGAUGAAACAAAGAGGACUUCAUUCAGUACCAGAUGAAUUUAGUAUUUCUAUGUAUGUAUGUGGGUCUCCUAAUUUGAUUUUCAAAUUGUUCUUUAGAAAGAUUUUUAGCUAUAUUAAGAUUUCUUAAAAAGCUGGGCCAUGCCAGGCAGGGUGGCUCAUGCCUACAGUCCCAGCCACUCAGGAGGCUGAGGCGGGAGGAUCACUUAGCCCAAGAAAGGCUGCAGUGAGCUAUGACCAUGCCACUGCACUCCAGCCUGGGCAACAGUGAGACCCUGUCUCAAAUAAAUUGAAAAAAAAAAAAUGCUGGACCAAGAGUAUAAUUUCAGGCAUCAAUUCUGUAGUUCCUUACUAGAGAAGUUUCUCUUAACAUGUACAACACUGGAAACCAUGAGGAGGUGGCAGCACAGCAUUCUCUGCUGAGCGUGAGGUUGGCUCUUGGUGUUGCUUUGCUGCAACUGUCAUUUGCCAUUGAUGAUGGUUCUUCUCUUCCUCCGAGGGAGAGAAUGCAGUCUGAGUGGGGGAAAAAGCCUGGGCCAUGGACUUAUAGACUGUUAACAUUGGAGUCUUGCUAGUGAACAUUUUAGCUAUGAUUGGAUUGUUUGGAUAGCUGAGUUUGAUAUUUACAAUAUCCCUAGCUUACCACUUAAUGUCUGCUCUUCUAGAUGCUGUCCUUUUCCCGUAUCUUGUUAGUAUUCUCUUUAACCCAUUUUUCAGCUAAGUGAAGUGUUAGUAUUCCCUCCUCUGACACUUGUUCACUCAGCACAAAGAAUUCCUACUGUUACCUCUCCAGAACCCUACGGUCAUUAUAGUUGAGGAAGCUGAUGCAGGUGGGAGAAAGGACCAGACGCAUGGACCAUGCUGUUAAGGGAACAGGGACAGAGUGGGUUUUAAUCUGGUUCACCCAUCCACUUACUAGUUUGUAACCUGAGAGCUUCCACUUCCCCAUCCCCAACAUGGGGACAUACUGUCAUGGGACUGUUGUGAAGAAUGACAUGCCACACAGAUGAGCAGUCCUAGCUAAUGUUAGCUGUUAAUGGGUGAAGGAAAAGCAGGCACUUAACAUGUGGAUAUAGGCUAUCCCUUAUCUUUGUCUUGUGACACCAUCCUCACUAGUUCACAAUUGCCCUUUCGUACAGGCUAAGCAUCCCUUAUCCGAAAUGCUUGGAACCAUUUGUGUUUCAGAUUUCUACUUUUUUCCAGACUUCGGAAUAUUUGUAUAUACUUAAGGUUUUUAUGUAUACUUUAUGAUCUUAGAUAAUUUUAGACAGGGUCCUGCUCUGUCACCCAGUCUUGAGUGUAAUGAUACAAACACGGCUCACUGAAGCCACAGGUACAUGCCACCACACUGCACUAAUUUAAAACAAAAUUUCUUGUAGAGGCUGGGAUAGGUUUAAGCAAUCCUCCUGCCUCAGCCUCCCAAAGUGCAGGAAUCGCAGGCAUGAACCACCAUGCCUGGCCUAUGGUUUUAAUAUACAGGUUGGGCAUUCCUUACCUGAAAAUCCAAAACGUUCCAAUGAGCAUUUCCUUUGCGUGUCACGUUUACGUUUUGGGUUUUGGGUAAGGGAUGCUCAAGCCAUGUAUUAAAAACACAAAACUAGCCAGGCAUGGUGGCUCAUACUUGCAAUCUCCCAGCACUUCGGGAGGUCAAGGCGUGCAGAUCACUUAACACCAGGAGAUUGAGGUUUUCCUACAAAAAAUUAGCCAGGCAUGGUGGCAUGCCUGUAGUCCCAGCUACUUGAGGGUGGCUGAGGUGGGAUGACCGAUUUGAGCCUGGGAGUUUGAAGCUGCAGUAAGCCAUGGCUGCACCACUGCACUCCAGCCUGGGCCACAGCAAAAGAACCCCUCUCAAAAAACUUAAAACAUAAAACUCUAAUACUGACACCUACAUACUCCUACCCAUUGUCAACUCCACCUUGCUCAAGGUCCUAAAUUGUUCACUAUCCCGUCUUUGGUAUUUAUUACUCUUAGCAGAUGCAUAUAUUUAAUGUCUUUUUUGAGCUUAUGAGAAGCCCCAAGUGUUGCUUUGAACAUUCCCAGGCAUGUAUCCUAUGUCCACAUGUAGUUUCUCUUGAGUAAUGCCUCAAAGUAGAACUGCCAUUUUCCCCAAGUAGUUGUAGUAACUUACACAAAUGGUCUUUUUCACAUUGACACGAGGAGUCCCGGCUAGAAGUCACGCUUUUCAUCACUGAAUGUCUUCAUCUACUAAAUGCUAAUGGAGGUAAGGAUAAGACUCAUUCAUGUGCCUGGCAUGUCAUUAGCUGCUCUGAACACACAAUACCCACGGUUUAUUAUAUAAAUCCAAGCCUGAAAAGUUGAAAAUUCCAUUCAUGGUAUUAUUAAUUGGCAAACAAAAAAAGCUCUUAGUUUUUGGAACACAGGUUUGAAUCUUUUUUUUUUUCCACUUUGUGUAACUGGAGACCUUAAUAAACUAUUAAGUAAACUUUCUGCACUCCUUCAGUGUUACCAUAAAACUCCCAAACAUUUGGUGAGACAUUACAUAGCUAAGUCUUGUUUUUUUACAACCUUGGGAUGUAGCAGUCAACAUUCAGCAUACGUCAAAGUUCGUUCUUAGGCAGGGUUGUAUAGGGUAAAUACCCAGGAGGCUUUCUAAAGCUGGUCUGUAUUACCCUCCACCCCCA
rnacentral:lncRNA from 10 species